ACUAACAAGGAUUCCCCUAGUAACUGCGAGUGAAGCGGGAAAAGCUCAAAUUUAAAAUCUGGCGGUCUUUGGCCGUCCGAGUUGUAAUCUAGAGAAGUAAUGCCCGUGCUGGACCGUGUAUAAGUCUCCUGGGAUGGGGCGUCAUAGAGGGUGAGAAUCCCGUCUUUGACACGGACUACCAGUGCAUUGUGGUAUGCUCUCAAAGAGUCGAGUUGUUUGGGAAUGCAGCUCAAAAUGGGUGGUAAAUUCCAUCUAAAGCUAAAUAUUGGCGAGAGACCGAUAGCGAACAAGUACCGUGAGGGAAAGAUGAAAAGAACUUUGGAAAGAGAGUUAAACAGUACGUGAAAUUGCUGAAAGGGAAACGCUUGAAGUCAGUCGCGUUGGCCAGGGAUCAGCCUUGCUUUUGCAUGGUGUACUUUCUGGUUGACGGGUCAGCAUCAAUUUUGACCGCUGGAAAAAGGCUUGGGGAAUGUGGCAGCAUUGGCUGUGUUAUAGCCCCUGGUCACAUACAGCGGUUGGGAUUGAGGAACUCAGCACGCCGCAAGGCCGGGUUUCGACCACGUUCGUGCUUAGGAUGCUGGCAUAAUGGCUUUAAGCGACCCGUCUUGAAACACGGACCAAGGAGUCUAACAUGCCUGCGAGUAUUUGGGUGGAAAACCCGAGUGCGCAAUGAAAGUGAAAGUUGAGAUCCCUGUCGUGGGGAGCAUCGACGCCCGGACCAGAACUUUUGCGACGGAUCCGCGGUGGAGCAUGUAUGUUGGGACCCGAAAGAUGGUGAACUAUGCCUGAAUAGGGUGAAGCCAGAGGAAACUCUGGUGGAGGCUCGUAGCGAUUCUGACGUGCAAAUCGAUCGUCAAAUUUGGGUAUAGGGGCGAAAGACUAAUCG
rnacentral:rRNA from 1 species